rnacentral:ncRNA from 1 species
GAAACUGCGUGGACCUAACUACUUUAUUCACAUAAGCAUUGUUUUCUAUGGAUAACUGGCUUGUGGCAGCCAAGCGUUCAUAGCGACUUUGCUUUUUGAUCCUUCGAUGUCGGCUCCUCUUAUCAUACCGAAGCAGAAUUCAGUAAGCGUUGGAUUGUUCACCCACUAAUAGGGAACGUGAGCUGGCUUUAGACCGUCGUGAGACAGGUUAGUUUUACCCUACUGAUGAAAUGUUGUUGCAAUAGUAAUUGAACUUAGUACGAGAGGAACCGUUCAUUCGGAUAAUUGGUAUUUGGGCCUGCCAGCAGGCAAUGGCCCGAAGCUAUCAUCCGUUGGGUUAUGGCUGAACGCCUCUAAGUCAGAACCCGUGCUAGAACGCGACGAUUACCGCCUUGUGCCAUUUUUAAUUGAAUACGAAUAGACCUACGGUCCUGCAUCUUGCGAACGUGGGAUUAUCUUGCAGAGCGGAAAGGCUUUGUGAUGUUCCUGCUAAUGUUAUCCCUUUUGGACUCCAUUUUCGUGAAUUCGAACAAUAAAUUGUCAGAGUAGAGGGAGUACGCCAUUGUGAUUCCUCAGAUUCAUUUUAAUGA